UACGUAGGGUGCGAGCGUGUCCGGAAUUAUUGGGCGUAAAGAGCUUGUAGGCGGUUUGUCGCGUCUGCCGUGAAAAUUCGAGGCUCAACCUCGAACUUGCGGUGGGUACGGGCAGACUAGAGUGUGGUAGGGGAGACUGGAAUUCCUGGUGUAGCGGUGAAAUGCGCAGAUAUCAGGAGGAACACCGAUGGCGAAGGCAGGUCUCUGGGCCACUACUGACGCUGAGAAGCGAAAGCAUGGGGAGCGAACAGGAUAGAUACC
rnacentral:rRNA from 1 species